rnacentral:tRNA from 1 species
GGAGGGUAUCCGAAUGGUGAGGAGGCGCACUCGAAAUGCGUUGCCCCGUAAGGGGUUGGGGGUUCGAGUCCCCUGCCCUCCGC